GCCUACGACCAGAUCACCCUGAAUGCGCCCGAUCUCGUCUGAUCUCGGAAGCUAAGCAUGCUCGAGCCUGGUUAGUACUUGGAUGGGAGACUGCCUGGGCAUACCAGGUGUCGUAGGCU
rnacentral:rRNA from 1 species